UGUCUUUCGGGAAAUAGCGCCGCCAUCUUGAGUAGCAUGGCCCAGCUAGACAGUGCGCCCUGAGUUGAGACAUGCGAUUUAUCGCAAAAACAUUGAACGUCCCAAGAAUCACGGAUUUCUGUGAAACAUAGCAAAUAUUUGGUGCUUUGCACCUUCAUCAGAAUGGAAGCGGUUAAGGCAUUUAACGCAGAGCUUUCAGCUUUGUAUGAUGUCAAACCACCAAUUUCAAAAGCUAAAAUGAAUUCUUUAACUAGGGGUGCAAUUAAAGCAAUUAAAUUUUAUAAACAUGUUGUGCAAAGUGUUGAAAAAUUUAUUCAAAAAUGUAAACCAGAAUACAAAGUGCCCGGAUUGUAUGUUAUUGAUUCAAUUGUACGCCAAUCUAGACAUCAGUUUGGAGUAGAGAAAGAUGUUUUUGCUCCACGCUUUGCUAAGAACAUGCAAACUACUUUCUUAAAUCUUUUGAAAUGUCCUCAAGAAGAUAAAAGUAAAGUAAUAAGAGUUUUAAAUCUUUGGCAAAAAAAUGCAGUUUUUCCUUCAGAAGUAAUACAACCUUUAUUUGAUCUUGCGGAUCCAAAUCAUCCAAUACAUAAAGAACAAGUAGUUAAUACUAAUGGUACAUUGAAUAUUUCUUCAACAAAUAAUGUUAGUAAUACUGGUACUUCUAUAAAAACUCCACCUUUAACUGCAAAAAAUGCAGUAAAAGAUCAAAAAAUAUUUUCUUCUGCAAAACCAAUUGAUCCUGCUUGGCUUGCACAAACAAAAAUGGAGACAGCAAAUAUAGUUAAUGCUAAUAAACUUUUAGGGCAAUCAAAUUCAAAUCAAAUGGAUGCUUCUUUUCUUGAUCAAUUACAACAUUUACAACAAUUGUUAUUAAAAAAGCAAGAAUCGAAUGAACAAAAAAGUUCUGUAAAAUUUGAUAAAAAACUCUUAGAUUUUGAUUAUGGUGAAGAAGAAGAUGAUGAUGUUGUUGUUGCUAAUUCGCCAGCAGCAACAACAACAUCUAAUACUGGUCAACAUAAUACACUUUCAACUGGAAAUAGUCUAGAAAGUCUUGGACUUCUUUUAACAAAUCCAGAGGUUUUGAGACAACUUCAAACAUUACAACAAACAAUGCAAGGAAGUACUUCUUCACAACAUGAAACAGAAGAAAAAAUGCGAAAGCUUCAACAAAUGAAACAGCAAGAAGAAGAAUUUGAUAAGCAUUUAGCUCAAACUGUUCCUAAUUUACCAUUUGCGUCAGAAUGUGAAUUAAAACCUUCGGAUAUCUUGAAACCAAGUCAACAAAGUACAUAUACAACAAAUGUAAAUAGCGGCGUCAUACAAGAUAUGAGUCAACCACCUCCUGGUUAUCCACCAGCUCUACCAUAUGCCUCUCAACCUUUAUCAAAUAUUAGGCAGAUAAAUCAACAAACGCAUCAAAAUCAAAAAAGUCCGCUUCUGGAUGAACGGCAAGACACACAAGAUUAUUCUGGAAAUGGCGCAAGACGAGAUAGUAGCAGUGUAGAAAUUGUAAAUUGUGAAAAUACAAGAUCACAAAGUAGAUCGCCUGAUCGAUACAGACAUCAUAGUCGUUCUAGAUCACCAAGACAUAGAGAUAGAGAUAGAGAUAGAGAUAGAGAUAGAGAUCGAGAUCGAGAUCGAGACAGAGAUAGAAAAUCUCGAUCAAGAAGUAGAUCUAGAAGAAGAAGAUCUAGAUCAAGAGAUAGAGGUCGUGACAGAAAACGAGAGGAUAGUCGAGAAAAAAUGACUGAAGAAGAACGAGAAAAAGAAAGAGAAAGACGUAAACGAGGAUUGCCACCAAUUGUGAGAGAUAAAUUAAGUGUUUGUAGUACUACUCUUUGGGUAGGACAUUUAUCAAAAUUGGUACAUCAAGAAGAACUUUCAGAUACGUUUGGAGAAUUUGGUGACAUUGUUAGUAUAGAUUUAAUUUCACCUAGAGGUUGCGCCUUUAUAUGUAUGAAUAGAAGACAAGAUGCAUACCGGGCUCUUACUAAGCUUAAAAAUCAUAAAAUGCAAGGAAAAGCAAUCACUUUAGCUUGGGCACCAGGAAAAGGAGUAAAAGGAAAGGAAUGGAAAGAUUAUUGGGAAGUUGAAUUAGGAGUUAGUUAUAUUCCUUGGAAUAAAUUAGUUAAUGUUACUGAUCAAGAUUUAGAACUAUUAGAAGAAGGAGGUAUGAUUGAUGAGGACACUCUACCGCCCAAUUUAAAAGGUAAAUUAAAGCAUUCCGGAACUGCAGAUGUGCUCCAACAACAGUUGCAAUUACAACAACAAGCAUUAGUUGCAGCUACUGGAAUACCAAAUUUAGCAGAUGGUAUGGUAAAUGUAAUGCAACCUUCAACUAGCGCUCAACAGCAACAAUCUCAACAGCAAACUCAGCAACAAGGUCAACAACAACAACAAGUAAUUGAUACAAGUCAACCUCCACCAAUUAGACCUCCUACAUCAGCUGCGCUUUUAGCACCACCAAAUACACAAUUACAGAUGAUGCCACCUGCUUUCACAAUGCCAGGAGUUCCUCGUAUGAUUGGACCAAUGGGAUUACCAAUGGCACAUAGUUUAAUGCCAAAUGUUCCCAUAGGUGUGCCACCUCCAAAUAUGCAAAGUUUAUUAGGACCACCAGGAAUGAUGCAAACUAUGUUAACGCCACCUGUAAAUUCUCCAUUUGGAGCAAGUGUUGGCGUUGGUUUAUUAACUCAAAUUCCUUUACCAGCUCCAGCAGCACCUUCUGAUAAACCUAAUUCUACUGGUAUGCCACAUAAUGUUCCUCCGAUAGGAGUUCCACCGCCAACAACGGAAACAGGAAUGCCAAAUUUACCAAUGUUACGUCAACCAUAUGGUGUAGGACCUUCUGCACCCUUACAAAUGCAACUACCUCAACAACAUUCUGGUGAUGAUAUGGAUGUGGAAAUGGAAGAUGCAAUGCCACAAAAUUCAAACGGAGCAAAGAAUAAAAAUAAUUUAACUGAACAACAACUUCCACAAAAUGAAGAGCGAAUAGAAUCUGAUCAACAAGUAGAACCUCGAGAUUAUAAAGAAAGAGAAAGAGAUCGUGAAAAUAGAGAAAGAAGAGAUAGAGAAACACAUUUAUCGCAUAGAGAUAGAGAAGGUAAUGAUUCUAGAAUGGAUCGUGGAAGAGACAGAGGUAGAGGAAGAGAUAGAGGACGUGAUCGCAGAAGAGAUCUUAGAGAUAGAGAUAGAGAUGAUAGAAGAGAAAGAGAAAACAGAGAAAAUCGGGAAGGAAAUCCACAAACUCAAAAUCUUCAGGAAAACGAAUCUACUCCAAAAAAAGAUAGCAAACCAAGUUUAGCAGAUCGUUUGCGUCAAUUGGCUGAUGGUACACUGCCGCUUGAAGAUCGUGUUGAUCGAAUAAUUCCUCGUAAUCGUCAAGAACGAGAUAGAUCUGAUAGAAAUUUUGAUGAUUCUCGAUCAACACGUGGAGAACCUCUUUCUUCUUUGAUGGAUUUACCAAAAUUUGGUUUACCUCAAGAAAGAAGUGAUUUCCCAGCUCGACCACCAGAUUUUCGUAAUCCACAAGAUCCAAGAGAAUAUCAACAACAAAGAGAUAGACAAAAUUUUGGAAGAAGUCACAGAGGAUCACAGAUACACGAGGAAUUUAUGGAUGUUCCAAGGUUGCAAGGAGGAAUAUAUCAAGAAGAAUUUGAUAAUAGAAUACAUGGACAGCAAAGAGUAGAAGAUUUUGGAAGACUUGGACCACUCAGAGAACAAAGAGAGGAAUUCGAUAGAUCUGAAGUACGAGGAAGAAGACCACUUGAUGAUCGAGAUCGAUUUGAUUAUGAAAUAAGACGAGAUGGUUUUGAUCCGCGACUUCAAGAUAAUUUCGAUCCAAGAGGGCAUCUUGACCGAGGUGAUUUUGAACCUAGGAGACGAGAAUUUUUUGGAAUCGAUCCUAUAUUUGGAAUGCCACCAAUCAUGGGACCUAGAGGUCCAAGACCCGGACAUCCUGAUGGAUUUGGACCACGUCCAACUCCCUUAGGAGUUCGCGGACCAGGUCCAUUAAUGUUCCAUCCGCGAGGCUUGGGACCCCGUCCUCUUCGUCCUGGAAUGAGGCCUUUCGGACCUCGUGGACCACCAUUCGAUCCCCGAGAAUCAGAUGCCUUUUUUAGACCUCCCUUUGAUGAUAUUCGUCCCCAUGUCAGACCACCUUUUGGACCUAUGGGUCCACCAUCUAUUAUUCCUCCAGAAUCUGCUGUUCCCUGGAGAAAUCAGGAACUUCCUCCUGGUUCUUGGUCUUCUGACUCAGAGAAUCACUUACAAAGAGAUAAUCUUAGAGAUAAAAAAGGUAAUAAUAAACAUUCAAGUAACAUGGAAAGAGAAAAUCGAAAUAGGGGACGAAAAUCAAGAUGGGCUAAUGUAAGUCCAUCUGGAGAAGAAGUGGAAGAAUCAAAAGAACAAGAAUCAAUAUCUACAAAUGUUGAAGAAAAAGAACCUAUAAAGGAAGAGGAAAUAGUGAAAGAAGAGGAAAAAGAAGAAAUUGGAAUAAAGGAAAUAAUCUCUAAUGAACAAAAAGAAGAAUUAAAAGAAACGAUUGAGGCAAAUCAAGAAGUCAUUGAAAUGAAGAAGGAAGAAGAAGAGGAUCGCAGGGAUUCUUAGACCAAAGUAAAAAGCGAUUAUUCUCUUUAAAAUUUUUUCUUACUCUAUGGAGUGGUGUGAGGGAGAAUUCGCUUCAAAUUAGGUCAAAUUGAAACAAUCAAUUUUAGAAAAUGGAAUACUGAAUUUUAAAAUAAUUAUAUUCAAUCGAUGAUAAUUAUUGUUAAAAAUAAUAAUAUGUCGUUUUAAUUUUAUUCUCUGUAAUAUUGAUGAAAUUAUUGCUUGUUAAAGAUAGAUCUUAAGAAGUAAAUAUAACAAAGAAAUUAUAAUAAAUAAAAUUUAAAAAAAUACAAGAUUUUAAUUUACUUUAAAUUAAUAAAUUCUUAUAUAAAUUUAAAAUAUCAUAUUUUUUAGAAAAAUAUAUUAGUAAAAAAAAUAUUUUUACUAAUUUUUCAAUCUAUACCAUUUUUUAUAUUUAAAUAAUUAUUUUAUAUUAUUUUACAAUGUAUAAAAUAAAAAUAAUAUAAAUAUAUCAUCGAUUGAACAUAAUAAGAUAUCUUUAAUUCAGGAUUUCAAGUUUCAAACAAAUUGAUUUUGUCAAUUUGAUAAUGUAAGAAAUUGUGAGUUUUGAACACAGGACUUAUGAUCUGUGGAUACUCCAAGACGACUUAUUUAUUGAAUUGUAAAUACUUUUGUAUUUUCGUAGUGAACAAAAAUAUACACAAUAUAUUCAAUUUAAAUUUAUAUAUUUAACUAUUUCUCUAAACUUUUGGAAAUAUAAAAAAAUGUUUGAUUCUAAAAUGAGUAAAUAUAUUUUCUAUUUUGAAUAAGAAAAGAUUUUAAAUUAUUAAUUCAAUAGUUUUAUUAAAUUAUAUUUUAAUACUUUUCUAAAAAAAAUUAAAUUAAAUUAAUUUAUUUUUAAUAUGUAAAAAAUAAUCAAAAGUAAUAAAUAUUAAUUUUUUUUUACAAAAAUAUGUAAAUCUACUUCAAAAGAAGAAAAAUAUAAAUACAAUUUUUAUGUUUACUAUUAUUAUUCAUCAAAUGAUUUUUUAAUAUUUUUUUUUUAUAUUUCCAAAUAGUCAAAGAAAUUAAAUAUAUAUAUUUAAAUCAAUACUGUAUAGAUAAAUAAAUCUUAAUAAUAGAAUCUUGAUUAACCGUAUAUUCUAAAAACUAUAAAUAUUUUUCCUUGAUUGAAUUUCAUUGUUCAACUAAAUUUUAAGAAUAUAUAGAAUGUUAAUAUAUUCGUAAGAUACGUUUGAAGAAACGACUUUAGAUAAUAAAUACAAAAACUUAUAUAUGAAAAUAUUGAUUAUUUAUUAAAUUAUUUUUAAUUUAAGUAUAUAUUAAAUGAAACGAGCAUGAAUAGAGAUAAUAACGAUAUAACGAAGACAAUAGUUUCAUUCUAUUAGCUUUAUUUAAUGAAAACUUCAAUUAUAAUGUAAUAAAUAAGCUUCAAUUGAUUUUUUUUUUUUGUUUGUUCCUAGAAUUAACUUUGCAACUUUUCUCUUCUUUCAACGAAUAUAUUAAUACUUUAUAUAUAGAGAUAAUAAUAAAAUUAUAUAAUAGAUAAAAAGAUCAGUAACUGAUUGAAUUCAAAUAAUUUUUCAUUUUAUUUGAAUAUAUUAUAUUAAUAUUCAUAUAAUAUUCGUAAGAUAUGUUUGAAAGAACAACUUUAAAAAUAAAAAUAUAUUAAUAUUCAUUUUAAUUAGAUUUUUUUAUUCAAUAUAAAUAAGAACUAAAAUUUUCGUAUUUUUUAUAAAAUAAAAAAAUUAAAUAAUUAAAAAAAAUGUGAAUUCGGAUAAGCAAGAUUCUACUCCAAAUAUUUAAUUAGAUAGAGAGAGAGAUUAUAUAUAUAUAUAUAUAUAUAUAUAUAUAUAUAUAUAAUAUAUGUAUACGUAUGUAUGUGUGGAUAUAGAUGCGUGCUUGCACGCAUGCAUGUGUGUAUGUAUACGUUUGUAUGAAAGGAAAAUGUAAAAAUUGACAAAUAUUUGCAUGUAUGUAAUUGACUAUGAAAAAAGAAAAAAGAGAGAGAAAGUAAAGUGAAAAUAUAUAUAGCACUGAUGUUCGGUGCGGCUCAAUCAAACAAAAAAUAAAUAUUUUCUAUAUAACAUCUUUCUUCAUAAGCAGAAUAACAGCCUUUCAUUCCGCUGGCUCCCAGAAUUGUCUUUAUCUUUUUCCUAAUAGGCAUCAAAUAUAUAACUUUAAUAAUGUAUAAAAUUAUUUUUAAGAGAUUUUGUCUGGGAGUCUUCAUAAUAAAAUCAAGAUAAUUAGUCAUUAUUUAUUAAUUUUAUUUAUCAUUAUUUAUAUGACUGGUUUGAUUAAUUUUUUAUUUUUAUCAAUCUUUAUUUAUAUCACAAUAAGUUUAAUUGUUUAAUCAACUUAUAGGAAAGUUUCUAAAUUACUUCCAAAAAAUAGUUUGAACAUUAAACUAGUUGUGAGCCAAAUCAUCAUCAAUUGAUUUACUAUAAUCUUUUUUAAUAAAUAUAUUUAUUUUUUAAUAAAUAUCUUAGCUAAUUUUUUAUAAGCAAAAUAUAAAAAAAGAAUAUUUCUUUUUUAUUAUUAAUAAAAAAAAUUAAAAUAUAAAAAUAUAAUAAAUAUAAUUGUUACUUAACAUUAAAUAUGAUUAUUAUUCUGAUGAUUAUACAAAUUUAUUUAUUUUUUUAAUUUGCAUUAAAAGAAAAUAUUUUAUGCUAUCAAUUACUAAAUGUUUUUAAAAUAAUUAUUAAGUCUAUUUUAACUAAUAUAUUAUUCUAUCUAAUUCUUUUACUAUGCAAUUUAUGUCUGAAAAAUUUUUCCUCCGAAUAUCGAAUAAUAUAUUAAAGAAAUUUAAUUUAAAGAAAUCAGAAAUUUCAAUAAAAAUUUUGAUAUAAAACGGAGAAAUUUCUGAAACAAUAAAAGUUAAAUAUUUGAAAUGAUAUUCGGAAUGGAAUUAAAUCUUUUCAGCUUUAGAUACUUAUUCAGUACUCAUACUUGUGUAUUCACAUACUUGCGUGAGUCUCUCUCUCUGUCGCCAUACGACGAUGGAACACCAGCCACCAGGUCGCUUACGCUCAAACUGAGCGCCAAGUGCAAGGUACUGUUGUGUUUUACUCAUAAUAUUUAUGUAGGUAGACAUACAGACACACACGCGAGCACACAUAUGCACAUACACCAUGUAUAUAUAUAUGUAUAUAUAUAUAUGUAUGUAUAUAUGUAUAUAUAUAUAUAUAUAUAUAUUCAUUUAUUUAUUUAUUUAUUUAUUUAUACAUAUUACAUUCUGGACAAACUUAUACAAAAAGAUGAAACAUGUUUAUUAUAUUCUUAAUGAAGCGAAAAAAUUUAUUUUAAGAUAAUGUUAAUUAAUUUUAAUAUAUUUCUGAAUUUCUGAAAUUUUUUAAAAACUUUGUGUUUAAUCAUUACGAUUAAAAAAAACAUUGAAUUUGAUUUAUUCUAUGAAUUUUUAUUAAGUAAAAGUUAAAAUUUUGAAUUUCAUUAUAUAAUAUUUACUUACAUCGUAUUAUUUUAAUAAUUAAAAAAAUAUAUAAUUAUAAUGCAUAAAUGAUGUGCAAUAAAUGUGAAUUGAAAUAUUAUUAUUAUUAAAUAAAAAACAAUUUUAUUGAUAAAUUAAAAAUAUAAAUAUUAUUGUUUUAUCUAAUAAUAGAAAUUUCUAUUAAAGUUACUUAUGUUAAAUUUUAUUUAAUAAUAUUAGAUUUUAUAAUAAAUUUUGUAAAAAAAUGAGUUUAUAUUAUCAUAUUCAAAAAUCGUUUUAUGAUUUUUAAUAUAAGUUUAAGUUCGUCCAGAAUGUUAGUUUUUCAAAUAAAUCAUAUUAUAAAUUCCUAAUAGUAAAAAGAUUAAGAAAAAAAAGAGUAUCAUAAUUCAAAAUACUAUAAGCAUAAGAAGCCCGUGCACCACUCCGGAGUUCAAACAUAAAAUUCUGUUUCUUUUUCAGAAGUCAAAUAACAAAAAAUUGCGAGUAAUUUAUUUAUGAAGAAUUAAUGAAUCAUUUGUGUAAAUAUCUAUUUACAUAUUUAUAAAUAUUAUAUGAUAAAUAAUGAUAGAAUUUAACAAAACAAAUAUAAAUGCAAAGAUCAUUAUUUUUAAUAUUCUUUAUAAUAGCAGUAUUAUUAUUUGUAAUAUUUUAAUUGAAUUUAACUUAUUUAUGCUUGAUUAUAAUUUCUAUAUGUUAUAUAUAAUUUUUGUUUAAUUUAAAAUUAUUUUCUUUUCAAUCAAAUAUAAUAUAUUUUGUAACCUGUAUUGACAUCGAUAAAAAAAUAUGCACAUUGAUAUGCACAUGCGCAAAAAUACAUAGUUGAUAGAAUAUCGAAUAUAAAAUCUUGAGUAUACAUUAACCUCGAAUUUUUAUUCAUAUUCAUUUAAAAAACAUCAAAUAUUAAAUGAUCCAAUAUAGAAAAUACUUUGAAUAUAAGAUUUGAAUAUUUAAAAAAACUAAGAACAUUUAAAUAUUUAAAGAAUAAUAAAUUUUCAAUAUAAAACGAAAAUUAAUAUUUUUUUAUAACAAUUAAUUAUACCAUUAUCAAUUAUAACUUAAUAAGCAGUAAGAAUGAUUUCAUAUAAUUUUUUGCUAAAAACAAAAAAAUAUAAACAUUUUUACAAAAUAUAUUGCAAGUUAUAUACAAAAAAAAUGCAUAAUAUAACAUUUGUAGACUAGCACAAUACAUCUUGAAAUGGAACAAAUGGAUCUAUUAUGUGAUUUUUCCUCAAUCUUAUGUAUUUAUUGUAAACAUAAGCAUUUUAAUAAAAUUGAGAUAUAAAUGUAUAAUGAUAUGAGCAUAUAUCAUAUUAUAUUAAAUAAUUUAAGUUAA